AUAUUGUGAUAAAAGUCAUCUCAUAAGAAUCUAUUGUAUUUAAUUAUUGGUGGAAGAUUUUCUUCGACAUUUCCACCGGCUGCUGGUUCAGUUCAGAAAUAUGCAACAAAGGACAAAUACUCUGCAGCAAGGGGACGCAUCUCGCAAGAAGCCGCAAGUCUCUCAUCAAUUUUCAUUCAAUUGCUUCAAGUUUUGUCAACGCCACAAACGAAGAAUAAUAUUUACGAAGCUGAAAGCCACAUGUUUUUGAUGAAGCAGCCAUUGGCAAUGAACUUUUAACAUGCAAUUGGCAUAGAAGAAAGCGAUCCGUUUUCAAACUGUGAAUUUGUUAGUUUAUGGAAAGUAUUGGUGGUUUUCAUAUGCGUC